UGGUUCCUAAGAAGGUAAAACCAAGAUAAGAAAAAAGCCACAUGAGACCACACAUCUUAUGACUUACAACUCAACUAAAAUUACUUCCUUUUUGGUUCUUGUCUACUUUGCACAUCUUACAUAAGUAUAGGGGGAAGAAUGAGUUAGAAAAAUGCUGUUUCAUCUGCAAAGCCAGAGAUACAGGCUCCUGGGAUAGCAGGAUGGAUUGGGGGCAAAUUCCUGUUCACUCAAGCAACAUCUUUUCUCUUUGAAGCAUCCUGUUAUUAACUGCCUUCAAGCUGCUCUCUGCUAAGGCUGGACUAUUUUUACUACCACCAAUAACAGGUUAUUUUUAUCUUCUGGAUUGACACAGAACUUUUGAAAAGGAAGUUUGUGGUCCCAAUCCAUCUGAGCUGGAGAUAACCCACCUACAGAGAAUAAAGGGAAGACAAAACAGAGGUUGGGGAAUCAGAGAAGAAACUGAUGAUGUAUCUUUUCACCCUACAGCAGCAGAGGGAGAAAACUUCUGCCCUUAGAACAAGU